GUCAGGAUGGCCGAGCGGUCCAAGGCGCUGCGUUCAGGUCGCAGUCUCCACUGGGUUUAGUCUCACUGGAGGCGUGGGUUCAAAUCCCACUUCUGACA
rnacentral:tRNA from 1 species